ACGAAGUUCAGAAUUUGUUCAUUGUGUAUUGAACAUAAUCAUAUAUUUUGAUACUGAAUUAGUGAUUUUGCACGCUUAAUCGGGCUAAGUUGCUUAGUAAAAGCCUGUUUUGAUUAAUCGUUUGCGAACUGAUCAUAUACCAUUGGUUAGCAAAAUGUCGGAACGUUUGACCAAAGAUCAGUUAGACGCUUUUAAGGUAGGAAUGCGGCAGAAUGACCAGAAUGGGUCUGGCGUAAUAGCAACGAGUGAUAUUCCCACAGUCAUUGCGGCUCUUGGGUACACUAUUCCGGAGUCUGAAAUAGCCAGCAUUCUUUACGAACUCGAUCCUGAUGAAAGUGGUGUUGUAAAUAUGAAUAGUUUUUUUGGUAUGGUUUCUGAAAAACUCGCAUCUCAUACAACACUUGAACAAGUCAAAAUGCUGUUCAACAGCAUGGAUAGAAAUGGACAUGGAUAUAUAUCAGUCGAUGAGUUGCGUUUCAUAACUCAAGCUAUUGGUGUUAACGUUACGGAUAGCGAAAUCAAAUUAAUGGUCGAAACUCUAGAUAUUGACGGAGAUGGUAAAGUGAACUUUGAUGAGUUCGCCACACUUUUUAAACACAUAUAACCCAUCCAAGUCUACAAUUUAAAAAGACAGCAGACCACUUAACACCAAUAAGGUCUGGUAAUAACCAAUAACGCAUACAAAAAAACUGAUAUACACCAGCAAAGCCAAGCAAAGCCAAGUAAAAAAAAUCAAGCACCACUAGCACAACGUUAUCUAACUAAAGAAAACAAGUAUUCCUAUUCUUACAAAAAGCUACACCAAACUCUAGCCAGAAAACAUCUUUAAAAACUAACCUAAAAACUAAUUGAAAAUUUAUAUGAAGAGCAAAAAAAUAAAAAAAUAUAUUUU